AUAGUAGACGAUUCAACAUCCCAGGGGUAGUGCGAUCACAUCCCAGGGUCGACGAUAGAAAGGUGACGGACCGCAGAGGCGGUAAUUAACGAUAAAGAAAGGGAGAGGCGAUACGAAACGCUGAAUCCAAUCGCCGGAGGACUCCACGUAGGAGGAAUUUUUUGCAAAUACA
rnacentral:lncRNA from 1 species